AUGGCGGCUCUCGCUCAGCCGACACAACAAGGAUUCCUCAAGGGCUGUACGGCUGUAAGGGGGGAUAUGGGGGGUAAAUGUGGGGCAGGGCUCUAUGGGGCAAUGGGGAUCUAUGGGGCAGGGAUAUGUGGGGCAAUGGGGAUCUAUGGGGCAGGGAUAUGUGGGGCAAUGGGGAUCUAUGGGGCAGGGAUAUGUGGGGCAAUGGGGCUCUAUGGGGCAAUGGGGCUCUAUGGGGCAGGAAUCUAUGGGGCAGGGCUCUAUGGGGCAAUGGGGCUCUAUGGGGCAGGGCUCUAUGGGGCAAUGGGGCUCUAUGGGGCAGGAAUCUAUGGGGCAAUGGGGAUCUAUGGGGCAGGGAUAUGUGGGGCAGGGAUCUAUGGGGCAAUGGGGCUCUAUGGGGCAAUGGGGCUCUAUGGGGCAAGGCUCUAUGGGGCAGGGCUCUAUGGGGAAGAGAUCUAUGGGGCAAUGGGGCUCUAUGGGGCAAUGGGGCUCUAUGGGGCAGGGAUAUGUGGGGUAGGGCUCUAUGGGGAAGAGAUCUAUGGGGCAGGGCUCUAUGGGGCAGGGAUCUAUGGGGAAGAGGUCUAUGGGGCAAUGGGGCUCUAUGGGGCAGGGAUUUAUGGGGCAGGGAUCUAUGGGGCAGAUAUGGGGCAAUGGGGCUCUAUGGGGCAGUGGGGCUGUAUGGGGCAAUGGGGCUCUAUGGGGCAGGGCUCUAUGGGGCAGUGGGGCAGGAUCUAUGGGGCAGACACUGACCUUUGCUGCUGGCUAUGGGGCUGGCUGCCCCCCACGUGUUCGGGGCCGUCCCCCAUCUCGUCCCUCAGUUCCCUCAAUAGGGCCGAGCUCAGAGCGCGGCGACGGGCGGCUUGUAGGGCACGGCUAUGGGGCGAGGAGGCAUCGGGGGCUGCGGGUAUGGGGGGAUAUGGGGUUAUAUGGGGGGAUAUGGGGAGAUAUGGGGUUAUAUAGGGGGAUUACUGGGUGCAAGAUAUGGGUUUAUAUGGGGUUAUAUGGGGGGAUAUGGGCAGAUAUGGGUUAUAUGGGGU
rnacentral:lncRNA from 1 species